CUGCUGCCUCCCGUAGGAGUCUGGGCCGUGUCUCAGUCCCAAUGUGGCCGAUCAACCUCUCAGUCCGGCUACCGAUCGUCGCCUUGGUGGGCCGUUGCCCCACCAACUAGCUAAUCGGCCGCGAGCCCAUCUUCCAGCGGAUUGCUCCUUUGGCUGCAUCGGGAUGCCCCAUCGCAGCGUUAUGCGGUAUUAGCAGUCGUUUCCAACUGUUAUCCCCCUCUGAAAGGCAGGUUGCUCACGUGUUA
rnacentral:rRNA from 1 species